AGGUUGGUUCACCCUUCCCUAAGCCUCCUUUAAGGGCUGGUUGCCAGGGGGGAAGGGUUUCUAACCGGAGAUUCCUCCUUUUGGGGUGUUCAGUGAGUCCUGAUCCUUGGGAUGGCUCAAUUUCUAAUCUUGCUGUGGUGGAGUUACGUGACCAAACAAGGCUGUGGUCUGCUGUGUUUGUAGUGCACUGAAUAGCUUCUCGUUCAUCCUUGGCCUCUGUCUGUAUCUCCCCAACUCCACUAUUUCUCUUGUGUCCACACAACUAUCUCCAGCAACAUUGAUAAUUUUCUUCUGAUCUCAAAAGUGUGGAUGAGAGAGGUAAUUGUCAGCUUGCUGCCCAAGCAAAUCAUCACAGAGGGUCCAGAGCCUGUGUUUAAGCAGUCUCUCUGGGCUCCCUCCCACCAGCAAGGCUGACCUCCAAGUGUGUGCUUGCAGAGGUGGUUGCUUCUGUAUUAAGUAGCCAAGGACAGGUUGCAAAGAAGGCAGGGAAGAACCUGGCUCACUUGUAUCCUUAGGUAUUCUGGGUAAUUUACCUGCACAGCCAGCCUCUGAAUUGCUCUUUGGAACGCAAUUGCUGUUAUUUUUGAAAGCACUACUCUCAAAAGCAAUAUUUCAUCAUUACUGUAAAACAUCAUCCCCACAAUUAUCAGACAGAGUGUCUGUAGGAAUCUUACGGGAAACAUGGUGACGCCUGAAGCAAGCCCCAAACCUGAAGCUAUGUCUCAUUAGUGCCUGGCUGUGGCAUGCCACCCUCUUACCCCAGCACGAGAGGAAUUAGAAUUUGGCCUUCAGACUGUCAUGUGCACUGGCGUGGGAUUAGUUCCCAUGAGUCUAUCUUCUUAAAAGUAGACUGCUUUUGGAGGAGAAGCACUGCCUUAUCUCCAGCAAAGCUAUAAACAAUGAGGAGGAAUUUCCCCUGCCUUAGAGCUGGCUCUUAAACUGCCUUCCUCCCCAGCCCUUGCUGACUGGCUCCAGCACUAUGCAGAGGGCUUACAGACUCACUGAGCAGUGGGAAGCAUCAUCAUGUGGAUCCCUGGAUCCCUGCUGGCUGCUGGGGAAGUGGCAUUUGGGGAAGACACGUAAAUGCCGGAGAGACUCCACAGCAGCUGGGUGUCCUGGAUAUGGAACAGACUGUGGAAGAGUUAAAGCAACACAGUGACAAAGCAUGGAAACGCCUGCGGUGUCCUACCACCCACGAGUUCUCCCUGUCCUUAAUCACCAGGCUGCCUGUUACGGCUGAAAGUGCCUUGUGCUUCCUCCUGGAGUCCUUCUGGGGACUGAACAGCGCAAUGUUGUUGUCCUGUUUAUAGCAGACAGCUUUUACAGACUUGGAGAAAAGGGGCUGGGAGGGACACUGGGGCACCUCUAGAUUGCCUUAUCUGUGCCCCUGGGCAAUAUCGGCCAUCCCUAAGGACAAGCAGUGAGAUUCAAAGAGCGCUGGAGACAGAGCUCCAGGCAGAUCCUGUCACACUCACCCCUGACAGCUGUCCUUCCUGUAUUUUCCUCUAAAUCCUCCACACACAGAAGCUUCAUCAUUUCUUGACCUGUGCCCUGGUGACAAGCAGAGCGGAUUUGUCCUUCCUCUCCACACAGAGAGGCACCGGGAGUCUGUCCUGAGGGCUCCCUGAAGACCAGCCCUAGCUAGGCUGCUGCUGCCUCUGCCUAUUCGCCCUGACAGCUAAGGAACGACAUCUUGCCUUAGCUUGCAGUUUUCCUCUGUGACAGCAAAGAUGGGCUUGUUUUUCCUUAGCAAACAUAUUCUCAAGUCUUUGUCAAGGAGGGGCUCGCUCCAGCAGAGUAUUUACAAUGCCAGGCCUGAGGCUGCCCAUGCCAGGCACUGCGGGCUCCUGUCAGAGGGCCGAGCAGCGAGGCCUAUCCUCCCCAACCCACAGCCAUCGUCUGUCACCACUUUCGGUGAAAGUCAUGGCCUGGUCACUCUCAAACCCUCAUUCUCAUACUCCAAGAUAGCUCCCCAGCCCAAGAGCUGGUCAGGAUGAUGAUGAUGAUGAUUAUUAUUAUUAUUAGUGAAAUGUUAGCUGUUGUGGUUUCUUUCCCUUUUGGAAUGGGCAAUUUAUUAAAGCCAAAAUUGUUGAUGGGAGCUGAUUUGACAAAUUUCUCAGUUCGGAACCACUUCCUUCAGGAGGAAGCACUGGAAUUGUUGAAACACGAAUGUCUGUAUUUUUUAAAUGAAGAAAUGUUUUGAUUCAGGGGUCAAGAUAAGUUGAAAAGAAGUAAGACAAAGAGUCAAUGUUAGCUUAAAAAACAUGACAAAAACAUUUAAAUCAAAAUGAUCCCUAUUUUAGCAUCACUUAGAUACAAUGGUAAUAUAGCCCCAAACUAUUUAUUAUUUAACAUUGUAUUUCAUUCUUGGGCCAUGAAAAACCUCUAGUUUCAAUAUUUGUCAAAAUUGGAAGGGGAUGUUAUUGAGGCGGUGCAGUUUGGAAAGCUCCUCAGGUCACUGAAGCCAUUUCAUCCCUUCUGGCAUUCAGAGUUUCUCAGUUUGCAGACUCAGCUCUUCCUGUGCGAAAUGGGAGAAGUCCCUCGUGGGGAUGGAGACGAAAGCCUUGCUGGGUGAUACUCCAGGAGAGGCCAUGGCUCCAGCAAGCAGCUGCUCUCUCCUUCCUGUCCUGUGUCUGUAAUUACUUUGUAAGAGUACCUGAACUUCAGCCUUAGCUCAUGAGAUUUUGCCCAUGCCUACAAAACGUGCUACAGAAGAGGGAGGUGCUUGAUCCUUGGAGGUGCAGGACAUUCUUUGUAUUUGCUUUCUGUUUCCCAGAAAAUUCUCCUCAAAGAUGACUCUGAUUUCCAGGACUAUCAAAGCACAUAUUUUUUUCAUGCAGCUAAAUAUAAAGGCAUGGGUACCUAGAUGAACACAUACAUGUUAUCCAAGACCACUGAUUGGAGUGAACCAGAUGAGAAGAUUUUUCUGAUUCUAAAGUUUCUUGGGAGCAGGGACCAUCAACCUGUGUCUUAAUAACAUAUAUUGAGUACCCAAUCCAAGAACUUAUUGAUUUGAAUAAGACUUAUACGCCUUGAUGAAAACUUUUACUUUCUAUCAAAAUGCAUCUCUCUCUGAGCUGGACUAUGACAGCAAACCUGCCCUCAAAUUGCCUACAUCACUCAGGCUUUCCUUAAAUGAAAGAUAAGCCUGUCUACUUCUUUGCUUAUCUUACCACAUUUCCAAAUCCCUGACUGUCCCUGAGAGUAGGAGAAGAGGAAGGUGAUGGUGAGCAGGUGGCAAGGAGAAAAAAAAAAGGGCAAUUUGGCAUUAUGGUCCAGGAGCCAAUGCUGUACUAAUAAACUGUGAAUAAAUUGUGCUUCUAAAUAUUACUUUAAAUGUUGCUUUACUUGAAUUCAAUAAGGACGACGCAUUGACC